UUUUGAAUGACUUCCAACAUUUCUCUUGAAUCCACUGAUGUUGGCACUAAUCACAAGAUUAAAAAAACAAAGUCAUGCAACCGAGUGCAGCGACCAGGCGACAGGAUAGUUACCUGACCGUUCUAGUGGCACCAGCCACAGUGAGUGAUGCUGAACAAAUGAGGAGAUAAAGAUGGAGCAGCUGGUUUUGUUCAGUGAGUGUAACAAAGGAGAGACUAAACUGGAAGCAUUGCGUUGGUUUCCUUUGGAUUCAAGCUUCUGCUGCCAAGGAGAGAGAGGAGUAGAAAGAAAUUGCUCGUGUGAGGAGAUUUUGUGUGAGAGCAAUUUCUUUCCAGUCUGGUGAAUGGUAAAGUUUAUCACAAUACUGCAAGCUAGAGCAACCAACACUUGAGGGAACCCUAGCAAAAUCAGGGCUACAGAUGUUUCAUUUGUUCAGUUGCUUUUCCUGUUUUAUGUUCCAAGCAAAUGAAAAAAGUAUCUGAAUAAUUUUAUUUGCUAGCCUACAUGGAGUUUUUCCAAGGCUAUAU